rnacentral:rRNA from 1 species
CCUACGGGAGGCAGCAGUGAGGAAUAUUGGUCAAUGGACGAGAGUCUGAACCAGCCAAGUAGCGUGAAGGAUGACUGCCCUAUGGGUUGUAAACUUCUUUUAUAUGGGAAUAAAACGUUCCACGUGUGGGAUUUUGUAUGUACCAUAUGAAUAAGGAUCGGCUAACUCCGUGCCAGCAGCCGCGGUAAUACGGAGGAGCCGAGCGUUAUCCGGAUUUAUUGGGUUUAAAGGGAGCGUAGGUGGAUUGUUAAGUCAGUUGUGAAAGUUUGCGGCUCAACCGUAAAAUUGCAGUUGAAACUGGCAGUCUUGAGUACAGUAGAGGUGGGCGGAAUUCGUGGUGUAGCGGUGAAAUGCGUAGAUAUCACGAAGAACUCCGAUUGCGAAGGCAGUUCACUGGACUGCAACUGACACUGAGGCUCGAAAGUGUGGGUAUCAAACAGGAUUAGAUACCCUUGUAGUC